CUCCCUCUCUUCCUCCCUCUGCCCUCCCAGUCCUUUUCUUUCUUCUCCUCCUCCUGCUCCUCCUCCUCCUCCUGCUCCUCCUGCUCCUCCUCCUUCUCUUCCUUCUCUUUUCCUCCUUCUCUACCUCCUCCUCUUUUGUACUGUGGUGUCAGUGGACACGUGGAACACUUCUGCCCCUGGCUAUUGAGAAUCAAGCUGCUAGGAAUACCAGAUUCCCCAUCCAACUGGUUGGGAAGCUCUUCAUGUGGCUUUUCAGAGUGGACAGUCCUGCUAGCUGUCCCUUUGCCCUCUGCCAGAUCCCCAGAGUUCUUUUCAUUCAUUGAUGGCUUAGGAAGAGAGAGUGUGUGCAAGACACACGUGUCUUCUACUCACUGGCCAAGAUAAGACAAGACUACAACAUCAUUUCCUGGUCCUGCCUACUUCCUGUGGGCGGCCCCUUCUCCACGAGAGCAGCACCUGACACAGGGGACUCAUUCUCCUUUGAUGCUUUUUAAAGGUGUACUUGUGACUCGAAUGACUGUGAUCCUGGGAAAACUCAACAUUUCAUCUCAUCAAAGUCACCUUUCCAACUUUAGCAGUGAAAACUACAAGAAAGGGGGUCAAAAUUCAGAUUAGGCAUCCUGGAGCAUCCUCUCUGGCUCCACAAGGUGAUCAGAGAGUGUGGACACAUAUCCAUCUAUUGACAAAUAAUUGUGAAAGGCAAAAUGUCUCCCUAAAUUAUAGUAAUGCACAUGUGAUGUGUAUAAUUCAACACCCUUUUGUGUAGGAAGUAGCCAUACUACUAAUACACUGCUGGUGGAAUUCUUAAUUGGUUUAGCCACUUAAAGAGAAAUCAGUAUUAUGUCUUAAAGUUGAAAAUGUAGGCAUCCUAUGGCCCAGCAAUUCCAUCAAUAUGAUCAAUAAAGAUUUAUUUCCCAAUCAGCAACCCAAGAUGACUGAAUAGUGCAAACAACUGCAUAUAUAAAUGACUCCCAGUGGUUUCAUUUUUCAAUGAGAUGAUAUCUGAAGAGCAGGAAAAAAAUGACUGGGUUCAUAUGGAGGAGAAAUCAGUUCCGCUGGAAUGCUGCUGUCAGGAC
rnacentral:lncRNA from 1 species